rnacentral:rRNA from 1 species
UACGUAGGGGGCAAGCGUUGUCCGGAAUCAUUGGGCGUAAAGAGCGUGUAGGCGGCCCGAUAAGUCCGCCGUGAAAGUCCAGGGCUCAACCCUGGAAUGCCGGUGGAAACUGUCGGGCUGGAGUCCGGAAGAGGCGAGUGGAAUUCCUGGUGUAGCGGUGAAAUGCGCAGAUAUCAGGAGGAACACCAAUUGCGAAGGCAGCUCGCUGGAACGUAACUGACGCUGAGACGCGAAAGCGUGGGGAGCAAACAGG